AAUGGACGAAAAUUUUGACGGAGCAACGCCCGCGUGAGUGAUGAAGGUUUUCGGAUCGUAAAAGCUCUGUUGUUAGGGAAGAACAAGUGCAAGAGUAACUGCUUGCACCUUGACGGUACCUAACCAGAAAGCCACGGCUAACUACGUGCCAGCAGCCGCGGUAAUACGUAGGUGGCAAGCGUUGUCCGGAAUUAUUGGGCGUAAAGGGCUCGCAGGCGGUUUCUUAAGUCUGAUGUGAAAGCCCCCGGCUCAACCGGGGAGGGUCAUUGGAAACUGGGAAACUUGAGUGCAGAAGAGGAGAGUGGAAUUCCACGUGUAGCGGUGAAAUGCGUAGAGAUGUGGAGGAACACCAGUGGCGAAGGCGACUCUCUGGUCUGUAACUGACGCUAGAGGAGCGAAAGCGUGGGGAGCGAACAGGAUUAGAUACCCUGGUAGUCCACGCCGUAAACGAUGAGUGCUAAGUGUUAGGGGGUUUCCGCCCCUUAGUGCUGCAGCUAACGCAUUAAGCACUCCGCCUGGGGAGUACGGUCGCAAGACUGAAACUCAAAGGAAUUGACGGGGGUCCCGCACAAGCGGUGGAGCAUGUGGUUUAAUUCGAAGCAACGCGAAGAACCUUACCAGGUCUUGACAUCCUCUGACAACCCUAGAGAUAGGGCUUUCCCUUCGGGGACAGAGUGACAGGUGGUGCAUGGUUGUCGUCAGCUCGUGUCGUGAGAUGUUGGGUUAAGUCCCGCAACGAGGCGCAACCCUUGAUCUUAGUUGCCAGCAUUCAGUUGGGCACUCUAAGGUGACUGCCGGUGACAAACCGGAGGAAGGUGGGGAUGACGUCAAAUCAUCAUGCCCCUUAUGACCUGGGCUACACACGUGCUACAAUGGACAGAACAAAGGGCUGCGAGACCGCAAGGUUUAGCCAAUCCCACAAAUCUGUUCUCAGUUCGGAUCGCAGUCUGCAACUCGACUGCGUGAAGCUGGAAUCGCUAGUAAUCGCGGAUCAGCAUGCCGCGGUGAAUACGUUCCCGGGCCUUGUACACACCGCCCGUCACACCACGAGAGUUUGCAACACCCGAAGUCGGUGAGGUAACCUUUA
rnacentral:rRNA from 1 species